AGGGAAGUUGGGAGUGGUGUGAAGUAGAAUAAAAAGUUAAAGUUGAAAUUGAAGGAGGCAUAAGCAUGGGUUCUUUCUGUGAAAGAUGGAUAAUUGUGGGAUUUGUGAUUGCUGUUUCCUUCUCAUGCAUGAUGGAGAGAGCAGUAGCAGCUCGACAUCUCAUGCAUACUCCUAACCUUUCAAAUCCAUCAACAUUAUCACCAUCACCAUCCUUCUCACCAUUACAACCAUUGCCAUUUCUGGUUUUUAAUUGCAACUUCUUCAGGGUCUGUUCACCACCACCACCUUCAACCACCAUUGCCCCCUAAACUAAAGGAUACUUGUGCCCUAAUCUACACUCUCCUUUCCAUUCAUCUCUCCCUUCCAUCACUUCCUUUCUUUCAUCUUUAAUAAAUGAUUAGGGCAAUCUAAUAAAUGAUAUAUAUUUCACUCAUACUUUACAUAUAUCUCUAUAUAUAUAUAUAUAUAUAUAUAUAUAUAUCUCAUGUCUUCUUUCUUUUCUCUUCUACAUGCUUAUUAUCCGUAGAUAACUUGUAUUCCCGUAAAAUAUAUAUCCAUUUGCCAAAUCGUGAUGAUCGGUAAAAUAAGCAAUUUAAUCUAUAUAACCACGUACAAUAAGUUAAUUGUUACAUAAUUUAAUUAUUAUUUCAGUAAUGUAAAUAAGAUUAAUCAUACUAUAUAAAAAAAAUAUUAUUAUCUUCAUUCAUACGUUUUUUAUUGUAAGACUGAUGUAAAAACGCACAUCAAGAACGAAAAAGAAAUUCUAAACUAUGGCGGCAUUAAGUUACCCAAAAAUAAUAAAUAAAAGAAAAUCUCUUUUGAAUCAUUGCAAGACAUGUGACAAUACAAAUCUAUCAUGGCCGACUUAAUUCUAAUAAUAGGAUGGAAAAAAAAAAUGAGGAUAUGGAAAACAAAAUUAAAAUUUUCAAUAAAAAUAUUACUAGUAUAUCUACCAAACCUAUAAUAAAACAACUUCACAUUUAACGUAAGAAAAAUAUGACCGAAUGAAAACAAAGAUAUUAUGAUACGUGAUCUCAUUGUUUAAAUAUUUAAUAACAUGAAUUGCAGAUAUCACCAUAUGCAUUGCAAAGGCUAUUAAGUCAUUUGAAUAAAUGAAGUUGAAAUUGUUGGAGUUAAUUCAGAAGUUCUGCAUUCACUUUUCUUUAAUAGGGUUAUUUGUUUGAUUGUAAACUGUCAUCUGUGACAGUUAUUUCUGUUUCUCAUUCUUUGCUGUAUUAAAACACAUUCUCUGUUUGUUUUGUAAUACAAGUUGCAUAUUCAGAUUAGAUCUUUUCCACUCUCUUUCUCUUUCUCUGCACCCGAAUAGAAAUAUCACUUAAUUGUAUCUGGAACCAAUUUCGAAAGCAAAUAAUAAUAUCCAAGUUAAACAUUAUUAUUCUAAAGUUCACCUUCAACAUUGAAUAUGAUUGCUUUGUUAGAAUACGACCAUGGGCUUAAGAGCAUCAAACUCUUGCUACAGUUGUUCUUAUCUUGAAGAACUUCUUCAUGUGACAAAUAUUUAUUACACUUAUAUCCAUGAAACUCUUCCUGAUGUUCUUCCCUUUUCUUGCCUUGAAUUUCUUUGUAUUUUAUUUUUGCAAACUUGAUCUAGCUUUUGUUUUGUUUCCCUUUAAUGUGGCAAGCUUACUUGACCUCACAUGGAUCUUUCUCUACCACUAAAAACAAUUGACGUUAUGCAGAAUUUAUUUUUUAAUUUGCAGGGUUUUCUUCUCCGCAAAUCAAUUUGUAGAAGUUUUUUAACUCUCCACAGUUGGAGUCACAACAAAUUAUAUGCAGAAAUUUAGCGGAGGUUUUUUACCUUCUUUGUAACAUCCCCAAAAUAUGUGUAUAAUUCAUAUCAAGUGGAAUGCAACAUAUUAUAAUAAUAGAAAGCAGUCAAGAGAAUUAUCAGAUGAAGUGUAUAUAAUACANUCAUCCAAAAUAUGAUGUAAGCUCUACAGAUGGCAUAGAGUCUUUCAAAAGAAGCAAAAGAAACUAACACUAAGUUAUGUACAAUAGAUGAUAACUGAGUUACACUACUAUGCAGCAUCAGCAGUGUCUGAGAUAUCUGGUACAUCUAGAAGUUGCUCCAAUGGGGCUUCUGAAACCUCUGCUCACAUCCAAUUAGGAUGAUCAUUGCAAAAAGGAAACAAGCACAAACAAAACAAACAGCAAACAAGCAAGGGUAAGCUAGAAUUCAAAAGAAAAUACAAGUCAAAUAAAAACCAACUAGGAAAGAUUAGACAUACAAGUGAGAUAAUCGUAAUCGAAUAAGGUUAUCAGGUUAUAAGUUUUAGUUUCAUUAAGUGAUGUUAGACUUAGACUCGUCCGGACCCGGAAUGAAUAUCGAGCUAUGGCGGGUCAUGCACUUGUGGUGGCCUCUACUGCUUUGCAAAGCCAUUGCCAAUGGGUUUCACCCUACCACACACAAGGUUAUCCNNNNNNNNNNNNNNNNNNNNNNNNNNNNNNNNNNNNNNNNNNNNNNNNNNNNNNNNNNNNNNNNNNNNNNNNNNNNNNNNNNNNNNNNNNNNNNNNNNNNCUCUUCUCUAAGUGAGAUUGAAUAUUCAUUAGAGCUUUAAGGGCAACCCCCAAGACUGAGCUACCUAUAUUCAUUCCAGAACUUAACUUGAAUCACUCAUUCUUGGCCCAUAUAAAAUGGAGACACCCAAGAUUGAGCUUCCCAUAUUUAUUCUCAACAUUAACAAUGAUCUCACCUAGAGAUCUUGAUACUUAACUCUUUGAUUCACCUUUCAAACAAUGCCAACUUCACUUACUUUGAUUUCUUAAUUGUUAGACAUUUUGAUGUUAGAUUGAUUCAAUUGCAUACACAUCUUACUUAGUUAAGUCAUACCAUACUAAAAGGAAUUAUACAAUACAAGUACAAAUCAUACAUGAAUCAUACAUCAAAGUACAAUAAACAAUACAACCAUGCAUCACAAUUCAAUUAAAACCUAAGCAAUGAAAGUAACUAAGGUGAUCUAAACCUUGAAACCAGAGAGGUCCACGACUUAGUACUGGACAUUUCCACAACUUGUGGAAUUAUCACGAGAGAAACAGAUUUGAAACAGAGAAGUCCACAGGCGGAUUGUGGAUUAGUACACAGGUCGUGGAAUUGUGCAGAUUUUCUGCAGAAUUUUGAGGAACUCACACCCUCAAAAUUUGUUUUAGGUCCUUGGGUGAAAUUCUAACCUUCCUAACACGAAGUAGGGAUGAUUUUGGACUUGUUUGAGGUUUAACACAGGUUUCCUAACACUAAUUCUAAAGAUUAUGCAUAGAUUUGAGUUCCAAUUCAACUAUGUCAUGAACUUAGUGACUUGAAUUCUGAUUUACCACUUUGCACAUGCUUUUGACCAGUUUGAUGACACUAACAAGUCAAAAAUAACAUGCCUAGACUAUCCCAACAUACUACAAGUGCCCUUGACCCCAAUUUCUCAAAUUCACUACCUCACUUCCUCUCAAGGAACCUAAAACCUUACCUAAACACUUGGUUUUCUAUCAUAUUAACAAUAUAACAUAAUUUUCCACUUCAACCACUUCCAACAUGUCCAAUCCAAGCAAUUUAACACAUCUACAUUCAAUUCAUAGCAUCACACAUGAUUCAUACCAAUUCAUAAGCAUCAAUUUUACAAUUUCACAAUUUGACAUACAUGAACCUUUGAUUCAACAUGCAAAAUUUCAAAUUUUAGAAUUCCAAACAAAACCCCCAAAUUCCUGCAACCUAAAUUCCCAAAACAGAAAAAAAAAAUAAUCCUAAGCUUCCCUUACCUUUACACGCACGACGAAGCUUACAAGAUGAUUCAACUAGCCCCCUUGCACCAAGAGAAACUUAAAAUACCUAAAAAUCAUCAUUUGGUGAUGGAAGACAAUUUCUUAGAACCUAAUNGAAAUUAAAAUUGAAAGGAUGCACAAUGGGUUACAUGCAAUCAGAUUUAUUGCAUGAUCAAAACCCUAAAAUGAACUGAAAAAGGGAAAAACACUUACCAGAGGAAAACGCUAAAUUGAUCGGUGGGAUUUCGAGCUCUCAACGCUAGGAAUCCUUACACACUUCCUUAUUGUUGAGAAGAUGAUUUAGUGAAGGAGGAUUUAAGAGAGAAGACAGAGCACAAAGAAGAGGAUUUUGGUCUUUAGAGAGAGAAAGUGUUUUUCUGAAAAACUGAGUUAGGAAUCGUUCUAAAGUUCUAUUUAUGUUUUAAAAAUAUAUAUAGAUAUUUUUGGGUUCUCACAUUCUUUAUUUCCAACUAUUUUGUUCUAGAAAUUACCUUUGAUUUCUUUAUUUUUCUUUUGGAUUAAUAUCCUAUUCAAUUUGAUAAUUAUGGAAAUUUUAAUCUUUCUCGUUUGUAUUAUUUAGUUUAUAGAUUUACUACCAUUUUUUUAAGUUAUUCCAAUUAACGUAGGCCAAUCAAGACGUUUAUGAAGCUUAAAACAAUGUUAUUUUUGUAAUAGAAAAACCAAAGGUUAUUUUUUAAAAGAUAAAAAUAAAGUUUGGGUGAUACAUAAAUAUAUAAUCAAAUGGUUCUUACUAUGUAAUAAAUAGUACACAUUAAUAUUGUUAGUUCAAUUUCACAAAUAUAAUUUUAUUGUAUAAUUAAAUUUUUUGAAAAUGACAUGGAAUCAUUUUCAAAAGUGAAUUUAAGUUUAUAAAUUAAGUAUAAUUUAAUAUAUUUCUAAUUCAUAUGAUAUUUUUAAUAUUAUGGAAUAAAUUUCAACAACGAGUUGUAGAAUUAGAAUAAGUAUUUGUAAAUGAGAAAACAUUUACCUUUAUAUUUAAUCUUCAUGUUUAAUUUAAUUGAAACAAAAGAUCAGGUUGACCUAAUUUUCUUUCUACAUUAAGACAAGAUCGUAUAGGAAUCCUUGUUUUAAAGUUUAACAAUAGUGUCUAUAAAAAAAUCAUGUAGAACAACACACUAAACAUUAUAUAUGUGUAACCAAAUUCUAAAUAACAUAUGUUACUUUAACAACUCUAUAAAUAGUCUUCACAUAAAGGCUAUAAUACAUGUAUGAAGUUAAAUCCUAAUGAAUAGGAGUCGGCAAAAAAUACUGAACUGUAAUGUACUAUAGUUAAUUGUACUAUAUUAUACUAAAAAAAACUGAAUCAUUUUUACUAUAACUUAAAUAUACUGUUUUAUGGUUCAGUUUUUAAAAAAUGAACUUAAUAAAUUGUCGGUUGAGUUAAAAUUCAGUUAAAUAAGUAAAUGUAAUAUCAUAAACUUGAUAUCGUAAACUUGAUUACAAAUUUUUAAAAUUAAAAAUACUAGUUAAAAAUCAUAAAUUCAGAUAAAAUUUACAUGAGCAUCUCGAACACCCUCUAAUUAACUGGGAUGGUGCAGCACAAGCAACAUUUUUUGUACGUAUAUAUUAGGGAAAAUUGAAUCAGAAAUUAUUAUCAACCAGGAAAAUAAAUGCGACACAACUUACCAUAAAGUAUUAAACUAAAAUUCUAAAUAUGUGAUUCUAAAAAUAAAAGUAAAUCAACUUUUUCUUUUAAUUCAAGUGGUGAAAUAAACUUUAUUUUUCAUCCAGUAUGAGUUCUGCAUAAAAUAAAAGUAUUUUGAAAAUUUUAUUCUUAUAAACAAGUGUAUUUAAUUGGAUCUUCCAUUGUCCAAAAGCUUUAAAAAAACCACUUUCUUUACCAAUGAGCCAUGUUUGUUUAUAUUGUAGUUUAAACAUAAAAUUCAGUUAGUAGUUUAGUUCAAUUUAUAUUGUAGUCUAGUACAAUUUACAAUUUAGUUAGUAGUUCAAUUCAGUUAAUAUUGUAGUUUAGUACAAUUUACAAUUCAGUUAGUAGUUCAAUUCAGUUUAUAUUGUAGUUUAGUACAAUACUGUUCAGUUCAGUUUGAUAAAAUAAAAAACAGUUCAGUUUGUCUAAACUAUUUUACAAUUCGGUUUAGUUUAAACAAAUUAGUUUUUAGUUCAGUACAGUUUUUAGCAUUACAGUGCAGUACAGUUCCAUUUGCCCACCCCUACUAAUGAACAUCUAACAUUUUAAAUGCAUAUACAAAUAGUAAUUAUUUGUCUAUUAUCUUGUUUUUUCUUUAUCUGUGUAGAUCAAUAAAAGGAAAAAGUUUUAUUCAUAAGUUCUACAUUGAUUCGAAAGAACCACUACCACAAAAUAAGCUUUUUUAAGUGUGUUAUUUUGGACUUUCUAAGUCUCCUUUAAAACAUAUUGGAUUUGAUACUUAAAUUUUAAGUCUAUUGUUAACCAACAGACUUAAAUUUUAAUUGUGUUAUUAACCAAUAUAUUUAAAAUUUAAGUUUGUUAUUGUCCAACAGACUUAAAUCUUCGUACAGUUGUAAAUAAAAAUGGCAUUAUGACCAUAAAAAAUUAAAAUUUUCUUUUUUUUUAAUUUUAUUUAUUUAAACAUUAAAUCAAUACUUGAAAUACAAUAACUAUUCCAUAUCAAAAUAUAUAUUUCCAAUUGUUCAAUUCAAGUACAUAAUAAAGAGCUCCAAAGUCAAAAUAAACAUCAAGACGUCUAACUUAAUAUUUUUAGUCUAGAGGAAGUCUAACUUAAACUUUUAAGUAUAAACACAACCUAAACAAAACUUAAACAACACCUAAUCAAAAUCUAAUCUCCACGUUGGAGAAGGCAACUUGCUCAUUCAUUUGUUAUUUCGGCAAAGGUCUUCUUCAAUAUUGGUGAUGGAGCAUUGAACACCUAAAACAAAGAACGUUAUUAUGUAGUGGCAUACCUAAAAUCGUAGAAUUCGUGCGUUAGUUGUAACUGCUUACAGUUGUCAAAUUACCAUAAAUUCAUGCCUAAAUGAUAGCUUUGAUCCAAUAUAUCAUGUAGUACCCAUAUUCCCACAGACUAAUCUGUCUAUUGCACCAAAAUAUAUAAAAAAAAAGGAAAAUUCAUAUCAUAUAACUUGUACACAAAAUAAUUAAUUUAAAAAUUAAAUGAUAUCUCCUCUUAGGAUAUAUAAUUUGAACUUGUUUUUGUUUGUUCCUUUGACAUAAAAUGUUUGUGUCAUUUUGGAAAAGUUUAAUAUAAAAUGUUUAAGAUGACAUUUUGGAAAUGUUUCCUCCAUGCUUUUGUCUGCCCUAUCCGUAUAGGCAAUAUAGAUGCAUUUGGAAAAGCUACAUGUACAUCAUCUACGACAAAGUCAAUGUUACUAAGUAUCAAAUCUUUUUGAAAUCUGUCUAUAUAAAGAAGAUCACAUAAAGAAAAAAAAAAAUUUAUUGAUUAUACUCUUAUGUUAUCAAAACAUUUAUUAUAUUACAAACAAAUACUACAUUUAAAAAUAAAUUCAUUUUACUAAAUUAUAAUUUUUUUUACAUUUUAAAAAUUAAUUUCAAUAAUUUUUUUUUAAUUUUUUUCUCUUUAUAAACAUUUUUACGAUUAAAUAUAACAUUAACAAAUAUCAUUUUAUAUUACUUUAAUAACUAUGGGCAUUUUGGUAAUUUUCAAUUUCUAACAAUUAAACAAGUUUUUUAAAUCUUUCAUAUCAAUCAAAUUCUAAACUAAUUCUCACAAAAUUUACUUCCAAAUACACUCUCAAUUACUUCCAAAUCCACUCAAAUAAACAACAAAAAAAAUUUACCUCAAAUUCAUUCAAUCAUUCUUUCCCAAAUCAUCUUCUCCAAAUAAGCACGGAGUGUUUGGGGUGUAGGAAAAAAUUUGUGAAAUGCUGAAAGAAGCCACCAUUCAAACCCAAUGACCACUAUCAAGUAAAAUUUUUUGAAUGACAGUAUGAAAGUUUGGGUAACUAUUAAUCAUAAGAACUAAUAACUACUUCACCAUAGAUUAGUGUGGUGGCUUCAUUAAUGUUGGAUUGCCAAACACCUAACUAACCAUAUUAAUAAUUAAUUAAUACAAUAUUUAAUAAUAUUAAGUACGUAACCGUUGACAACGACACAGUAAUCUAAUAAUCACGUAAUCAUAAUGUAAUAUUUAAAUAUUUGUUAAUUAUUAAUUUUCCUAAAAUGGUUGGUUAAUUCCUUUUAAUAGAAUAUUCUUUUUCUACUCUUUUUUUUAUAAAACUAAAAUAUAAAACAUGAUAAAGAUAUUGAAAUAAUAUCACUUUAACCAACUAUUUGUUAUAUUAAACAUAUUCAUGUUACUAUGGAGAAACAAAAUAAUAUGAAGAAAAGAUAGAAAAAUUCAUACGUAAUGAGAAGAGAAGGGAAAUAAAUAAAUAAAUAAAUAAAUAAAUAAAUAUAUAUAUAUAUAUAUAUAUAUAUAUAUAUAUAUAUAUGUCAGAUCUUAUAUUAUAUUCUAAUGUUACAAAUGGAAUACAAAAAUGUAAGCUAAAGGUUAGCUAUACAAAAAUGUAAUAUUAUACCAUGUUAUUCCUAUUUUUGUUAGCUAAAGGUUAGCUAUAAAAAAGGUUAGCUAUAAUAUUAUAUUUUUGUAUAGCUAACAUAGGAAUAUCACUAAGAUCUUAUUUUAUGAAAAUGAUAAAUGUCUACCUUUUUUAUAGCUAACCUUUUUCCAAUUCUUAUAUAUUACAUCUAACCAAAAAUCAUUCCUUAUAUGGUUUACCUAAUUUGGAAUGUCUAAAUACUUGAAUCGUAUAUUUAUGUUUCUCUUUUUUUAAAUUUAAUAACAAUGAAAACCUUCCAAGCAUCCUUUAAACUCCUAUGUUAGCUUAAUUUUAUGAAAAUUAACUAAAGUCUUGAAAUCAAUUCAAAACAAGUUAGGAUUUGUUUAUAAUCAUAAUAUUGUUUACUUUGGCUUCAACCACAAAGGUUGUAUCAUAAGUGAAUUGUAACACAGUAGUCACAAUUUGUUUCUCAAUACACUAAUUAAUAAUCACGUACAGUACAUUUGACAAAUAAUAUUAUUGUUCUCAAUAGUACAUUUAGCAUAUUUUUUAUGAGUAUCAUGGCUAAAAUAGAAUAUUUAUCAUUUAUCAUGUCGGAUUUUUUUCUUGACGUAGGAAGGGUAACUAAAGAGUUUUUGUUUUUUUUUUUUUUUUAUAUGUUUGUUGAUUUUGUUAUAUAUGGAUUGGAAAAAUCCCAUUGUCCUCGUUAAUAAAUUCGUCUUAUAAACAAAUAUUUUUUGAUAAAUCAAUUAAAUCAAUUUUAUAUUUUCAAAUGGUUAACGAGAUGAGUUGAAAUCAUAAUACUUUUUCACCCUUUUUUUUUCUAUCUUUAUCACGAAAUAAUCUUUAUAUAUGCCGAACUAACAAUCACGUAAUUAUAAGAUAAUAAUAAUGAUGUAUUCACUAAUAUAGAAAUGGACUUUUACCGUAUUUAAUACUUUUUUAUUUUUAAAAAACAGAAGCAUAAUACGUCAUGGUGGCGUAUUCGAAAAUUUAGCAAGCAUAUACCUAAGUCUAAAAGAGUCUAUGACAUCAGAUAUUUGAAGAGCUAAAGUCGUACACCUCGCAAAUCUCACUGCAAAACUAACUAUCUAGGCUCACACCUUUUUUAACAGAGUCUAUAGCCUUAAAUACUUACAGAACUGAUGUCAUAAACCCUGCAAAUCCCUCUCCAGAACUUACUUUUCAUCCGACUCAUUUUUGAAUCGGGCCUGUGACCUCGAUUAUUUACAUAACUGAUGCCAUAUACCUACAAGUCCCGCAACAACACUAACAUUACCUUGAAAAGUGCUUUUAAAUACUUAAUUUUUUUCAGGGUUUAGGCAGCGGUUGGUUUUCGGUCGGUGCCAUACAACGUUUAUGCCUCAAUUUUCCAAAGAACAAAGGCCAAAUAAUUGAUUGAAAUUUCAAAACUGCCAUUGAAAUUUUUAUUUUUUAAUUUUUUUCAGAGGCUUUAGGUUGGAGUUUCUAGUAAAAUUUAUGCCAUAGACCCCUUAUUGCUUUGGUUAUUUUUAUAACCGAGACAAUAUCUCGUGCCGGGGUUAAAAUUUCCAGAUAAGUAACAGAGAACCACCCUUAGGCAACUCUUACUUAGAAGAGCUAAUGGAGAGAAGACAUUUGUCCUUGUUGAUGUCACCACCGGUGUGGCAUCCAGUGUAAACUCAGAUGUCUUCAAAUUCUACUUAGGAGUAUUGACACAUGAUAUGAUAUCCAUCCUUACACCAUCAUUCAAUCAUGUGUAUGAAAUUGAUCAGAAUAUGAUAUAACUAGACUUAUUGGUAAAUUAAUUAAUAUUAUUCCACUUAUAGAUGACAUUAGACAUUCCAAAUGUGACAAAACUUAAGAAUAAUUGUUUAUCCUCGAUUGCCAAAAAAUUUUGGGAUUUUAAGACCAAAUUGACUUUCAGAUAUAUCUUCGGAGCAAAACAUAGUGAAACUCCAUGUGUAAAACAUAAGACAAUUGAUGAAAAGACUUGACACCAAUUUGUACAGAUUCAUACUUCGGAGGCAUGAUAGGUUAGUUUACUUGAAAUCAUUCAUUUACUCAUUGACAAUUUUAUAUGAUAAAAACUAAUUAAUUUCCUCAUUGAUAGCAAACAAGGACAAAAGUAUAAGGUAUAAGUGCUCAAAAUAAAAAUCUUCAAUUUAAACCCUUUAGUUGUCCCUAUUUAUGUGGGGAUUUCCUAUUUUGAUUCCCUUCUUAUUAGAAUCCCCAAUUGAGUCCUUAUAAGUGCUAAUUUGAAUCAAUUGAGUCCCUGCCGUUAAAUUUAGUUCAUUGGGUUAAGUUUUAUAUGAGUUGGAAAUUUGACAUGGUAAAUUUAUUAUAUGUUGCAUUAACACAUAUUUAAUGGAAUUUUACGUGGCAUUAACACAGGGCACGUUGACCAUACCAAGAAUCCCCUCAGGUACUGUUGAACAACGUCCAAAAUACUCCCUCAUCGCCGCCGGCACGUCCGCCCCCACCGCUAGUGGCGCGAAACUGUUCACCCACGCCUCGUAGUUGGCCUCCAUUUCCGAGAACAGCUGCUCGAUCUCUCUCUGCUUGAAUCCCCCAUGGUAGUCCUCGUCGUUCAGAAAUCUCACAAAUAUUCUCACACAUUACAUCCUCCUAAAUUCUUUUCGCUCAAUUACCCUUUCAAUUCCACUGCUUUUCGUGGAUGAAACUUCAACACUCCUAAAUCAUGUUUUCCUUUUUAUCUCAAACACCUUUCUCCAACCUAUUGUUAAACUAAAGACCAGUAUCAAUUACACAAAAAAAAAACAUAUACUACUACGAAAUUGACAAGUUCGUUGAAUCUUACAAGGUUAAGUAAAUAAAAGGGUUUUCAAAUUUAAUCCAAACAUAGCAGUUCUACAAGAGCAAAAUCGGCUCAUCCAGAUUUAAAAUUGGAGACUGAGUACAUAAGCGGUAGCAAAUUGGUGAAUGAAUCAAUGUAUCUGCGUUUUCCUGUUCGGUGUUGCGAAGAUGGUGUAGGUGCGAUUAGGGUUAUGAGUUUGUGAAAUUUUGGAUUUCUCUACAGGUUUGUUGUGAGACGAGGGAGGUUGUGCGAUUUUGGAUUUCUUGGCUGAUUGAUUUUCUACUCGCGGUGGUAGAUGGUUUCACGGUGGUGAAAUUGUUGUAAAGAAAAAACAGUGGUGAAAGGAGAUGGAGGCGCUGUGGCGGUUCUAGGAUUGCCCGAAUCAUGGCCAUGAAUCUAGGUUCCCUCUAGUUGUUGAAGGUGGUGGCAGAUGAUGGGUUUCUGCGUUGCGCAACAACGACAUUGAGGCGCAACGAGAUGGUGGAUGGACGAAGAAGGUGGCGUUGAUGGUGGCGGUGCAACGAAGGUGCUAGUGGCGUUCUCAUGGUGGCUUCAUGAUUGCGGUGGAACAAGGUGGUGACGACGAGACUGAAGGUUUCACAGCUUUACAACGGCGACGUAAGGUUUGCUGGCGGCGGCUAGGGAUUCACUCUUAAGGAAAAUUAGGGUUUUUGCUGUUGAGGGAGAUGAUGCUAACAUGGCAGGAGUGAUAUGGCAAAAACUGGCCACGUCAACGUCCCGACUCAUUAAAAACUUAACUCCGUUAACUAAAUUUAACGAUAGGGGCUCAAUUGAUUCAAAUUAAUACUUAUAAGGACUCAAUUGGGGAUUCUAAUAAGAAGGGAAUCAAAAUGGAAAAACCCCACAUAAAUAGGGACAACUAAAGUUUAAACCAAAAUCUCCACUUAUUAUAUCUUGGGGUAUACAAAGCUUGAAGAGAAAAUUAUCAAGAAAAAGUUAGAAGGUAGGGCGCACCUUGUGAGGGUGACUUUCCUCAACUUACCUCAUCACCUUCUAAGAGUGACUCUUCUCUUUUUUUUUACCUUGUCUUAAUAUCUUUCGGUUGAUAAACUAAUGUCUAUUAUUUAAAAUAAUCGUUGUCGUAGGUCUUAUGCUACUUGUACCCGUAGGUAUUCGUUGUCCAUAAAAAAUUAAAAUUAAAACUUAAUUUAUAUUUUAUUAAGUUAAAUUUAACUAAAAUUAAAAUUAAUUUAUAUUUUAUUAGAUAAAUUUAAUUUAAUUAAUUUUAAUUUGUAUUUAAUUUAAUUUAUAAUAUAUUAUAUUUUAUAUAUUUUUUUGUAAUUUUAUUUAGAUUUUAUUUUAAAAAUUUAUAAAAUAUAUAUAUUUUUAAAUAUCUGUGUGUUUCAAGAGAUAACGAGUAGAUUUUUUUGUUGUAGAUCGAGUAAUGGAUAAGUAAUAUCCAUGCUUAAUCCAUUGUCAUCUUCGUGUGGGAUUCACAAGAGAGUGUUGUGUGGAUACCAAAGCAGGGUGUGAUAUCCGUGAUGACCCAAUGUCGACUGGAGUUGAGACAAUUGUGGAUGGUAAUGUUAGAGGAACUCUUAAAAUAUAGCAUUGCUUUCUCCUUCGUUUUGCUAUUCCUUUUCUUUUUUCAACACGAGAUGAACGUUCUCCUAACAUUACUGCAAUAAAACUGUAUAAAAAAAAUUGAAACACUACAUAAGAUUAAAUCACGUUUAUAUUUUGAAAUAAAGUUAAAUAAACAUGUAUAUUUAUAAUGAUAGACAUUUGUCAAUAGGGACAUAAAAAAAGUGAAUGUAAAAUUUACCCAUAAAUAACUUUGUAUUUCAAUUUAAAGUUUGGCAAAAUACAGGGAUCUUUUAAUAGUAUGGACUAAGAUUCAACAAAAAGGAAAAAAAGAUCGUUAAUGAGUUUAGGGAUUACAGUUAGUAUUUGGAAAUGGGGGAAUAUUUAUAUUUUACGUUUAAUUUUAUGAAAAAAAAAUAUAGUUUCACCUAACUAACCAUAUUAAUAAUUCAUUAAUAGAGUAUUCAAUAAUAUUAAAUAUUGACAACAACUCAAUAGACUAAUUAAUAAUCCCGGACAGUACAGUUGACAAAUAAUAUUAUUGAUCUCAAUAGUACAUUUAGCAUAUUUUUUAUGAGUAUCAUCGCUAGAAUAUUUAUCAUUUAUCAUGUGUUAUGUUGGAUUUUUUCUUGACGUAAGAAGGGUAACUAAAGAGUUUUUUUUUUUCUUUUCUUUUUAUGUUUGUUGAUUUUGUUAUAUAUGGAUUGGAAUAAUCCCAUUAUCCUCGUUAAUAUAUUUGUCUUAUAAAAAAAACUUUUUUUAUAAAUCAACUAAAUGAAUUUUAUAUUUUCAAAUGGUUAACGAGAGGAGUUGAACUCAAUAAUUUUUCACUUUUUUUUUUGUCUUUAUUACGAAAUAAUCUUUGUAUGCCUAACUAAUAACCAUGUAAUUAUAAGUUGAUAAUAAUGAUGUAUUCACCAGUACAAAAAUUGGCUUUUACUGCUCCCUUCACGCCGAGAUAUAGACAUCUCGUGCGUGAUAGUAGAAAUUGGGUGAUCCAAUAGUAGUCCGACAACGGGUGGAAUAGAAAGAGAAAUGUCCACUUAGAACUCGCUAGGAUAGGCUUUAACCAUGACUCUAAUACUAUAUUAGAGUGUGGGUUUUUAACCUAACUCAACCCCACAGGACCGGCUUGUAAGGUAAGGUUUGCACCUCACUUAUAUAUUAUAAAUUGGCCUUAUCUCUAAUCGAUGUGGGACUUCCAACACACCCCCUUCACGCCGAGGUAUAGACAUCUCGUGCGUGAUAGUAGAAAUAGGGUGGUCCAAUAGCAGCCCAACAACAGGUGGAAGAGAAAUGCCCAAGAAAAAAGAAAUAUCGCUAGGAUAGGCUCUAACCAUGGCUCUGAUACCAUAUUAAAAGUGGACUUUUUAAGCAUAACUCAACCUCACAAAACCGGCUUGUAAGGUGAGGUUUGCACCUCACUUAUAUAUAUAUAUUAUAAAUUGGCCUUAUCUCUAGUCGAUGUGGGACUUCCAACACACCCGAGGUAUAGACAUCUCGUGCGUGAUAGUAGAAAUUGGGUGGUCCAAUAGCGGCCCGACAACAGGUGGAAACAAAAUGCCCAUUUAGAACUCGCUAGGAUAGGCUCUAACCAGGCUCUGAUACCAUAUUAGAAGUGGGUUUUAGGCCUAACUCAACCCCACAAAACCGGCUUGUAAGGUGAGGUUUGCACCUCACUUACAUAUUAUAAAUUGGCCUUAUCUCUAGUCGAUGUGAGACUUCCAACACACCCCCUUCACGCCGAGUUAUAGACAUCUCGUGCGUGAUAGUAGAAAUUGGGUGGUCCAAUAGCGGUCCGACAACGGGUGGAAUAAAAAUGCCCAAGAAACAAGAAAUAUCGCUAGGAUAGGCUCUUACAACAGGUUUUCUGAUCCUUUUCUACUUUGUCUUUGUUGUCGUUGGUGGCCUAUGGCCGCCGCCACCGGCGGCUCCCUAAAAGUCUUUUUUUUUUUCAUCUCAUGUCUUUUAUCUUUUACUUGUUCAUGGAUGGUUUGGUCAUAAACUUUUUGUCAUUCACGAUCCUCUUCGUUUUUAUUUUAUCUUGUUCAACACAGGACGUCGCUCCUUCCUUUCUUUUUGCCUCCCAUGGCCAACAACAAAUCUUCGUGUAUUAGCAACCCUCAUGAGCCAUCAAAACCAUUCACUUGCAUCACCCUUAAAAGUGUCACCAAGCUUCUACCCUCAAAUUACCUCACCUGAAAACUUCAAGUUGAAGCUCUUCUUGAUGGUUAUGAUCUUCUCAAAUAUCCAGAUGGAUCCUUUCCUGUGCCGCCGAUGACGAUCCCCCACCGUUGUACCCCUAACUCCUAAUCCUGCUUAUCAAACCUGACUCUGAUACCAUAUUAGAAAGUGGGUUUUAAGCCUAACUCAACCCCACAAAACCGGCUUGUAAGGUGAGGUUUACACCUAACUUAUAUAUUAUAAAUUGACCUUAUUUCUAGUCGAUGUAGGAUUUUCAACACCGUAUCUAAUAUGUUUCAAUUUUUAAAAAACAAAAGCAUAGUAUUAUACGUAUUAAAAAAUUUAGCAAUCAUAUAGACCUCGGUUCAGAAAGAUCUGAAGUCUAAAAUGUUAUAUGACAUCAGUUAUUUGAAGAGUCAAAGCCAUACAUCCUGUAAAUCUCACUGCAGAAUUAACCUUUAAGCUGACACCUUUUUAAAUACAGUCUAUGACCACGACUCAUGGGGAUAUAUAUAUAUAUAUAUAUAUAUAUAUAUAUAUAUAUAUAUCAAAUCUUGAAGAGGAUAUAGAUUUUUUACUUCUUUUAUAUUACUUAAAUGUUUCCAAUGCAAAUUUUAUUCUUCAGACGCAAUUCCUAAAAUGGUAAUGAAACUCGUGGAGAUUUCAGGACUUAGUAUCAUUUGUGGAGCCUCCAUGGGUAUUUCAGCAGUUAAUACUUGUAAAUUAUUUUAUAAAAAUGCAUGGUGCUUCUGAGCGUACGUGAGUUUACUAUUGAAGUCAGAAUACGUAUUAGACUCUGAACGAUUUAAAAUGCAUGAUAGAAUUGUACAACCUACACAAAUAUGUUUGAGUACCACAUGUUAAAAAUAGAAAAUUAUUUACAAAAUGUUAUAAUACAUAUGUUAGCUUUGUCAUUUAUUGUUUUUUGUUUUGUUUAUUUUGAUGUAUUUCAAAAUAUUAUAUUGAUAAUAAUUUUUUAUUGACACAUUGAAGUAAUUAGUCUUGCUUUUGUCUUUUCAUAUUUUUCCAAAUAUUUUAUCUUUUCAUUAUUUUUCUUGGAGCCUGUAUAUGAUUUAAGGCUAUCAUAUUUAUAAGAUAAUUUAGGAGUUCUUUGAUUUUCAUUAACUCUUGUUUACGAGUUAAUAAAACUUCACUUAUUUAGAUAUUUUUUUAUGAAAUUAUUAAAUACGGGGUGUUAAAGGAAAAUUGAAUAAAUUAUUAAAAAAGUUCUUCAAUUCAAUUCAACAUAGAGUGUUUGUUUGAAAAGCUUUUUUUAUUGAACAAUUAAAUAAAUUAUUAAAAAAGUUCUUCAAUUCAAUUCAACAUAGAGUGUUUGUUUGAAAAGCUUUUUUUAUUGAACAAUUAAAUAAAUUAUUAAAAAAGUUCAGAUAACACUUGUUUGAAAAAGUAUUCUCUAUUAAAAAAUAUAAAUAAAUUAUUAAAAUAAAAAUUCAAACCAAUAAACAACACUUGUUUGAAAAAGCGUUGUCUAUAAAUGACUUCAAUAAAUAAGUUUGUUUUUUUUAAACAAGCGUUGUGUAUAAAUAACCAUUAGAUAUCACGUAAUUCUGACACUUUUUCAUUGAAAAUAUUUUUUAUUUUUAUUCAUAUUUUGGAAUUAUUAAAAAAAUGUCAUAGGAUAUGAACGAUCUUAUCAACAUAAAAAACAAAUGAACGAUUACACGAGUACUUAUGAUUUUAAAAAAGGUUAUUUUAUUUUUUAUAAUUUUAUAAUUUUUUUAUCAUUUUAAAAAAAAUUAAGAAGAAAAAUAGUUUGAAAAUCUAUGAUACACAUAUAUAAAAGAAUAUAAUAAGACAAAAGGAAAAUGAAAUAAAAAUAUUGUAAAAAAACAAAAGGGAAAUUCAUAACAUUUGAAAUAGCAAAAAUAAUGUAGUAAAAAUGGAAUAAAGAAAUAUGUGCUACCUUAUUGAAAAAUGUUAAGUGAAUGAUGAUGCAAAACCUCGUUCGAAACAAUUUGUUUAUGAGCAUACAUAAAAGAUGACAAGGUCGAUGUUGGAUAGUAAUGAAUGAUGAUUCUUUAAAGUAAUAUAGUAUCUUAUCGAAUGUAUGAGACAGAAAAAAUACUUUGUCCGAUAGAUAUGAAAUAUCAAAAGAUUAAGGCAUGUUCUAAUCAUUAUAUUUUAUAUUGAAAAAAGUUUAUAGAGUUAAGAAGUUAUCAAGUGUGGUUUGUCAUAUUAUAAGGUCAAUGAUAUUGAUAAGAAGAAUAUUGAUAAGGUCACAAAGCCCGACUCUCUUUCGAAGGUAAUUUGAUAUAUAGCAAUAAUUCCAAGGCUUGUAUUGAUACAUAUGUGGUAUAUAUUAUUCUAACUUAUCUCAUGUUUGUUUUGUGUAUAACAAUAUUAAACAAAAUUACAUUUGGUUAAAAAUCUUGAAAUCCACUAGCCAUAUUUAUAGAGAUUUACUACAAAAAAAAACCCAAUUUUAUUAGGGUUUUUUUUUUUUUUUUACAUUAUUGAAGGUUUUAACCCCAUAAAUACCUUUCCCACAGUUACAUCAACCAUUGAGAAAAAUGACAUCAUAACUAACAACAGGAGUUUUCAAAACUGUCGAUAAUUACUUAGGGUUUUCCAAAACUGUCAGUAAUUAUUGAGGAUUUUCCAAAACUGUGAGUAAUUAAUGACGAUUUUUCCAAAACUGCUGGAAAAUCAGUUUUUUUUUUAAAAAAUAAAAUUAUAACCAUUAAGGACAACCUCAACAUUUCCAGUAUAUUAGCAUGCCAAAUGCGACUAUUUAGUGAGAGAGAAGAAUUCUCUCGGGAAGCAUUCAACAAAACAAAAACUAAAAAAAUGAAAGAAAUGAACCUAUGCAAUGCAUACAAAGAACAAUAAAUGACUAUAAACACUGUGUGAAUCCAUGUCAUUGCUCUUGAGGAUGUGACCAAUUAGUUAAGAUCCUAUCCUAAAACAUGUUCAAUAAUCUAAUUAACGAGCAAGAUUGGCUGAACUCCAAAUGGAGCUUGGGAAGGUUGUCCAACAGAACUUGUUUCCGGGGACGAGUUUUGGUUUCUGAUUCUGAUGUUCCUCAGAUCAGCAACGAACCCUGGUUUCGAAAUUUUAACAUCUUUCAUAUCAAUGUUGUUGGUGAACUUCUCGACCACCUCUGACAUUCGUGGCUGAAGCUUCACUGUUUCUUGCACACCAAGUAGCCCCACCUUCAAGAACUUUAUGGCCUCCUCUUCUGGAAAAUUCUUGUUCAACAUGGGACCCACCGGUUUUAACAUAUCAUUAGAUUGAUAAGCUGCCCACGCCUGCAAUUGUAAUAAUCUUCAACUUCAAACUUCAAAUUUCAAACUUCAAACACACAACCACCACAUUCCAUUUUACCAAACCAUAAACAAAAAAAAGCCCAUUUUAAUUAGUCCCUUUUCCAACGCCACAAAGCUAAAAGCAAUUAUGUGUUUGUUUGACUUCAAUUUCAUUUCAUACCUUCUCCACUAUGAAACGUUCAAUGUCUUGAUACGCAUCCACCACUGCUAGGCCACUCACGAUUUGCAGAAGUAACACUCCGAAGCUCUAAACAUCAUAUUUUCUUGAAACCUAUCCGGAAUUGGCAUAUUCUGGAGCUAGAUAACCUCUGUUGAUUUAUCAGAACAAACCCCUUUAGUCAUGGCAUCAAAAGGAUUCAAAUUAAUUAAUCAAGCUAGUUCCUUCUUUUGUUUCUUAAUGUUGUAACUUACAAUGUCCCUACAACACGAGUGCUGAUGUAAGAAGCUUCGUCUCUCACCAAUUUUGCCAAACCGAAAUCCGAAACCUUUGGGGUGAAAUUCUGAUCAAGAAGAAUAUUUUUGGCUUUGAUGUCUCUGUGUACGUUAUGAGACUUAAGCUCUUCGUGGAGAAAGUCAAGUCCCCGAGCCACUCCUAUGAUACUUCCCUCCUUGUUUCCCAGCUGAAUCUCAUUCUUCUCUCCUCCGAACCUUUCAAUCAAAAACAGAACCAUUAUAACUUUUGCCUCCAACUGCAACCCCUAAAUUGGAAACUCAGAAACACAUAACAGAAAUUAAUCAUACCUAAGAAAGUUUUGUAGAGGUUGUUGUUCUCCAUAUAAUCAUACACCAAAUACCUAUGAACACCUACCACGCAACACCCUUUCAAACUUACAAGAUUUUGGUGCUUGAUGUUUGCAAGUGUAGCCAAUUCCGCCACAAAUUCCCUCUCUCCUCGCAUGGAUUCCACCUCAACCGAAAGCACCUUCACCGUCACAAGAGAACCAUCCAGAAGCCUCCCCUUCACAAGUCAAAAUCCAAAUCAGUCUCUCAGAGCAUAACCCCUUGGUUAAUUUUUUAUGAAAUCACAUUACAUCUCAAUGCCCCCAAUUAAGCAAAGAAUAGACUUUUCAAAAGAACGAGAUCUUCGAGCUCUCUAAGUGUCGUGCUGUGCUGCUUUUGCGCUUCUACGAUGAUGACGAGCGGUGCUGGUGGACAACGUCAGUCGUGUGGAGGAGGACAAGGAGGAUAUGGACCCGCAGGUCGGACACGAAUGCGUUGCAGAGCUUGGGAAGUUGGGAUCGGUGAAAUCUAGGAUUUUGCAAAGGGUAAAGGAGGAGUUUGGAACUGAAAAUCAGUUUAUAGGAUGGGGAGGGUUUGGGAGAAGAUGAAAAGAAAAAAUCAAGUUCCACACUAAAUGAAGAGGAAGUGAAAAGGGGGUUUACAGUGAUUAGUCCGAAAUUAUUUAAAAAUAAAUAAAUAAUUGUUGGGAACGGUUUUUACUUAUAAACCGCCGAAAUUAUUUGGAGUUUCAAAAACCGUCGGAAGAUAACUCCUCUUAAAAUGUAUUAUUUUUAUAGUGAUUACUACGAUACAGAGAGACUCAACUGAGAUUCCUUUAGAUGUCACUAUUUUUGCAAAGAUAGCAGACUUCAUUGUUCAUACAUAAAUAUAACUAGAUGUAGAUUUUUACAGGCAUUGAAGAGUUAAACAUAUUUGUUUUACAGUUAUAGAUGAUAUAAGUUUAGCGUCCAAAAUAAUACAAGGCGUUGUUUCAACGGCAAACACUGAUUGUUCUACAACUAUAAGAAAUAAGGUAAUGAACAACAUUUAUAACUUUUCAAUGAUUUCAGGCAAACGACAGUGACAUAUGUGAUUUAAUAAUACGAUGAUGAUAUUUUGACAACACUUUUUGACAACGAUAUAUAUGUCAUCACUUUAUUGGUCUAUUUGAAUUUAUAUUUAAAAUAAUGUUUAAAAUGGACCAAUUACAAACUACCACGUAUGCGUGGUCAAAAAAUUGUUAAAAAAGUAUUGCUAAAAAAACUUUUUCCUUAAUAAUAUUAGUAAUAAUACUAGAACACUGUAUGAAAAUAAAAGGUUACAUUUUGAUCAAUAUUAUUGAAACUAAUUCUGACGCAAUCUUUUUCCGAAAUAUUGAAAAUGACCUCAACUUGUUUCUUCAAUAGAAAAGUGUCAUGUGUCUUCAAUUCUAAUGUUCCUCUAAAUUAUGAUGAAUGGAUAUAAACUUGGAAUCUCUGUGCGGGUUACUUAUAGCUUUGGAUAAUUGCUCUGAUACUUCCUUUUAAUAUGGUUUUAACUUUAUAUCACCCUUAAUAAAUUUUUAGCAACUUAAUAAUUCAGUGCCUAAUGAAAUGUAUAUAUUAAAGAACCAUUUGGUUUGAAACAAGGAAAGCACUUAUUUAUUAGGUCAGUAAGAAAUGAAUACAGUUUUCCCUUGAAAGCACUUAAUUUGAAGUAUGAAAUGAAGGUUAAGAGAACAUCAUCAGCAUAUAAAAUAUUUUGUAUUUAUUAUAUUUUUUUCUAGGACUAUUUUUUUCCAUUAGUUGGAUUAUUAACGUUUAAUUGUUUGUAUGACUAUAAUUAUUUAUGUUUCUGGAGUUGUUACUUGCCUAUGGCUAACUGUUAUUGUUGUGUACAUUGUGAUGGUAAAUUAAAGGAAACUUUUGUGGAAGGUCAAUUUAAGUAAUGGCCUUACCGUUUUGGUUUUCUUUUCUAUGCAUUUCCCUAUUUGUCCAUAUAGUUCUUUAGUUGACUUCCACCAUCUUCAUGUCUAAAUGUUGUUUCUUUCUAGAUAUCAUCGAUCAAAUUAGUAAAAUUGUAGCAUGCCGACCAGUUCAUUAUGGGAAGUUAUAGGACUUGGAUACUUGUGCAAUGGUGGUUCAUAAGUUGGAAGUUACCUUGAUAAGGCUGUGUAACACAAUUAAUGUAUUUAUUAUUUUAUAACAGCUGAUACAUAGUUAAUGCCUCAAUAAUUCAAUUUAUAUAUUGUUGUUUUUGUGUUAUAUAUUUGUUUUGGCAUUUUUAUGGAUUUUUCAUUCCAUUUGUUGGCAUAUCAAUAAUGCUAGAACCAUUACAAAGUGAACCCAUUAAACUUCUAUUUCAGCUAACCUUAGAUUGUUCUAGCAAAAUCACGUUCUAAAGUGCAAGUGUUUUGUUUAUCCCUUUUCUUCUCUGCAGUUGGUUUCUAGCUUAAACCUGUCUUUUAAAUUAAUCUUACGACAUCGAUAUUUAAUACAAAGUUUCAUUUAAGCUAAGAAUUCUUCCCCAUUCAAAAAUAUUAGCAAGAAAGGAAUAUUAUAAGUUGUGGGAUGCACAUUAUAUAAAUUUUAUUGGUGAACAGUGGUUGCACAUUUGGUAUUGAAACAAAAACGUUAUCUUUUAUACAGGUUAUUGUUAGAAAAAGCAAUAAAAAGUAUCAUUUUUAUACUGAUUAUUUUGAUAACAUAUAUAAAAAAUCUCACUUAUAUAUCAUUUAUGUUCGCAGCAAGUAUAAAAAGUCUCCUUUUUUAUAUUUGUUAUUGGCAGAAUAGGUAUAAAAAAGCUCUUUCUAUACUUGUUCAGAAAACAAUAGGUAUAAUAAGUGACAUUUUUUAUACUUGUUCUCAUCCUAAAAUGUAUAAAAAAGAGAUUUUUUAUACCAGUUCUUAAAAUAACCAGUAUAAAAACUAUUCUUUUUAUACUUGUUCGUGAACCGGUAUAAAAAGUUGAAUACUGUCUAUAUAUGUAUAAAAACCAAUAUUAAAAGCCUUUUUUAAUUGGUGUAAAAUGUUUUUUUGGAACAUAAUGACACUUUGAAUAUUAAGGAUGUUGCAUCGAUCUUACUAAGAUAAAGUAAAAGACCAGUUGAAAAUAGAGUCAACAAAAUGGGUCACCCGUCCUGUCCUACCACGAAUUGGUCACUUAGUGAGUUAACCCAACCCGACUCAAUUAUUAGUGAGCCAGAAAAAUUCAAACCCGGUCUGACCCACCACGGGUUGAUGGGUAAAUGGGUUGAGUCACUGGCUCACUUAAUUACAAUUUUUUUAAAAUAAAAAUAAUUACAAACUUUCUAUAAUUCAAAUAUAAACAAAUUUCACUCUCAAAUUUCACUCCCAAUAUCGGGGUUUAAUUAAUUUUGAAAAUAGGGAACUUAAAUAAUUUUUUCAAGCAAAAAAGAAAUAAUAAAUAUUCGUUUUAUAAAAUUAAAAUUAAAUUUUAAUAAAAUAAAAUUAGAUAGGGGGGUUGGUGGGCCAACCCGGCCCACCACGAGUUCAACUCGCAUGAGCCGGGUUUAAAUGAGUCGGGUUGAAAUCUAACCCGCAUAAAAGAAAAAUACAAUUUUUCAAACCCAACCCGGCCCGAACCCGUGGUAGGCCAGGUUGGCCUGCGGAUUGUGACCCGUUUUGACAAUUCUAGUUGAAAAUAGACGUGUACAAAUAUCACCUUCACAUAAUUUUGAGAAUGAAUUCCUGUCAUUUGAUUGUGUCAACAUUGAUGAUCAUUUUCAAUUUGAUUGCGAUGGGAGCAAUGAAAACUAUUUUGGUUCUAUAUUAAAUGGACGAGACCUUUGGAUAUGCUCAAAGUAUAUAAUGACAAUUUUAAGCUCAUAAAUUCUAACACAUUUGUAAAUAUUUGUUUGGAUAUAUAUAUUUUUGACUAGUGGAAGAUUGUUAGUAAUUUGGGUAAUAUAUAUAUAUGUGUGUGUGUGUGUGUGUGUAAAAUGUUAAUAAACGUGUUAAAAUCUUUAUAUUUUAUUAGUCAACUUUAUAAAGUUAUCGAAUUAAGUAGAUAUGGCUAAUGGUAUACAUGUCAUGAAAGGUAUAUAGUGUAAAGACUAACAAUAAAUUUAAUUUGUUAAAGAGACCGAAUUGAAAUUAUUAAAACUUAGGAAAAACAAUUGACAGAGGUUACAUAAAGGGGUCAUGGUCCCCAUCUUUGAGUACACUCAUAUUUUUCUAUUUCUUUCUCUUUAUCUCCGUCAGAAGAGAAAAUACAAAAAAAAAAAAAAAACAUAAGGUGUUUUACAAAGGAAAAAUCAAAGACCAAUUAAAGAUUGAUUACUAAUUAUUUUCAAUGACCAAGCUUUCAGCUAUACUUUUAUUGGUUGUUAUGAAGAAAAUUGAGAGCUUGUAAGGGUUUAUUGUUUGUAAUUUAUAAAUCUAUCAAUUUUGGUUAUGGAAAAAAGAAAGUUGGAUAUUGGGCAUGGAGGAGAUAAAUUUUUCAAAUGGUUGAUAGGGUGGGGAAAGACAAGCUAUGUAUUAAAUUAUGCACUUUAAUAUUAUUAUUCACUUUCAAAGACAUGAUUUGAUUAUAUAUAGUUAAUUUUAUUUUUUAAUGGCAUUACUCAAUUUAAGAAGUUAAUUUAAGUUUAUAAAUAAGAACUAUGAAUCAUAAGAACUAAUAACUACUUCACUAUAAUAUAUAAUAUAUUAGUGUGGUGGCUUCAUUGUAGCCGGCGCCAAUAUUGGAUUGCCAAACCACAUUAAUAAUUAAUUAAUACAAUAUUCAACGAUAUUAAGUACGUACAGUGUUAACCAUUGACAUUAACACAAUAGUCUGAUAAUCACGUAAUCAUAAUAAGUAUUCAUAUAUUUGUUGAUUAUUAAUUUUUAUAAAAUGGUUGGUUAAUUUAUUUUUAAUAUUCUUUUGUAUAUAAAAAUAAAUUAUUAAUUAAUAUUUUAUUGAGUAAUUUGUGUAUAAAAGGGAAGGUGGGAUUGGUGUGAAGUAGAAUAAAAAGUUAAAGUUGAAAUUGAAGGAGGCAUAAGCAUGGGUUCUUUCUGUGAAAGAUGGAUAAUUGUGGGAUUUGUGAUUGCUGUUUCCUUCUCAUGCAUGAUGGAGAGAGCAGUAGAAGCACGACAUCUCGUGCAUAUUCCUAACCUUCCAAAUCCAUCAACAUUAUCACCAUCACCAUCCUUCUCACCAUUACAACCAUUGCUAUUUGCGGUUUUUAAUUGCAACUUCUUCGGGGUCUGUCCUUCACCACCACCACCACCUUCAACCACCACUGCCCCCUAAACUAAAGGAUACUUGUGCCCUAAUCUCCACUCUCCUUUCCAUUCAUCUCUCCCUUCCAUCACUUCCUUUCUUUCAUCUUUAAUAAAUGAUUAUGUUUAAUAAAUGAUUAGGGCAUUCUAAUAAAUGAUAUAUAUUUCACUCAUACUUUACAUAUAUCUCUAUGUAUAUCUCAUGUCUUCUUUCUUUUCUCUUCUACAUGCUUAUUAUCCCUAGAUAACUUGUAUUCUCGUAAAAUAUAUAUCCAUUUGCCAAAUCGUGAUGAUCGGUAAAAUAAGCAAUUCAAUCUAUAUAAGCACGUACAAUAAGUUAAUUGUUACAUAAUUUAAUUAUUAUUUCAGUAAUGUAAAUAAGCUUAAUCAUUCUUUAUAAAAAAAUAUUAUUAUCUUCAUUCAUAUGUUUUUUAUUGUAAGACUGAUGUAAAAACGCUCAAUUUGAUAAAUUGAUGACCAACCCUAAAUGUUUCACAAAUGUCCUAGGAUCUACAAAUGUUCAUUUUGAAAAGAUUUCAAAUGCAGUCGUGCGUCAAGUAGAUGCAAUAGAAAAUAGAAAUGAAAUACUACGUUCCCAAACUGAGAUCCUAUGUCGCACUCCGACAUUCACAUAUACAGAUGGCGAUAUAUAUGAAAUGUUGAGUGUUAUGAGUAUUGCUGAUGAAAACUUGCUCGAGCAAUGUUAUGAUUUCUUAUGUGGAAACCCCACAUGUACAAAGACGUUGAUGGGACUUCCACCACACAAGAGAUACAAUAAGUUAUGUAAAAUGAUCUUGGGUGGUGACUGUUAAAAUGCCUUAAAUAAUUAGUUGUAUUACUAUUAUACUAUUAUAUGUACCUGUUUUGUAAUUAUGACUUCUUGGUUUUUAACCACCUUCAAUUUUUGAGUUAUGGUUAUGGCUCAUUAAUGGUUUGUCUUUGUUUGUUGUUAUUAUUAAUAUUGAAUAAUUUGUUAUGAUUUAAGUUAUUAUUUUUAUUUAUGGUUUUGUUGAAGUAAUUGCUAAAUGGUCUCAUCAUCAACCAAAAGGCCUAGAAAAAGUCGUAAGGGAAAAGAAACCAUAACUGAGCCAGAAGUUGCUACCUAUGUCAGACCAUAUGUUGCAGAACAAUUAGAUCAGCGUCGUUUCUUCAGUCACAACCAUUAGAUGGAAACUUAUGCAGUUGAUUUCUACACAAGAAAUAUAGUUGUUUCAAAAAUUAUGAAUUUCGAAUCAUUUGCCGGUUCAGGCUUAUAUUUUCAACAUCAUCUUCUAUUUCAAGGAAUGGUUGAAUUUUUGACAUUGCAGAGACCCAUCUAUCCGAAUUUGAUCAAAGUCUUUUAUUCAAAUUUGAAGAUUUCUGGAAAUGGAUAUAUUCUCACUAAGGUCAACAAGAGAAGAAUUAGAUUGAAACUUGUUGAUUGGUUGAAUGUUUCUAAUAUGAAGUAUGAUGGUCAAAAAUCGUGUUAUUCAAAUAUCCUAAUAUGAUGACUCAAAUGUGGGAGGGGGUACAAGACUUGCAACACAAAAUGCAGGGUAUAGAACAAAUGCAGUUACGGGUUCAGCGUAUUGAAGA
rnacentral:lncRNA from 1 species